rnacentral:lncRNA from 1 species
GCAUAUACACAUUUUGGGAUUCGAUGUUACUGCAUUCCUUCAUCCAUUCAUUUUUUUCAUUGCAGUAUUUAUGGGGAUCCUUGUGAGUGUUUGCACCAUAGAGAAAAAAGCCUCCCCCAGGCCUCGCCUUCUUCCCUCUUUACUCCAUUCCCUAACUCCUGCCUCGUAGGCAGCGGUGGGGAGCCGCAGGCUGCUCCCCGAGUCCCAACGCUACUAGGGUGCUGUAACAGUGAUGAGGCGGCGUUGCAGUCUGGCUAGGCGCUGCAGCGGGCACCAGCUACGUGUAUUUGACUAAGCAUUAACCAUUCCAGCUAAGAGAUCAGUGUUUGUCAUUCAAAAUAGCUGAGGUGGUUGGGAGAGGACAGCCAGUAUUCCCCAAAAGAGGUUUAUUAGUUUCCUAGGCUGCUGUCACAAAUUGACACAGACUUAGUGACUUAAAACAACAGAAAUGUAUUCGCUUACAGCUUGGGAGACCAGAAAUCCAAGGUGAGUUUCCCUGGGUUAAAGUGAAGGUGUUGGCCCGGCUGGUUCCUUCUGGAGGCUCCGAUGGAGACUGUUCUUUGCUUUUUCAGCCUCUGGUUGCUGCUGGCAUUCCUUCGUUUGUGUUUGUGUCACUACAUUCUCUGCUUCUCUGGCACAUGGACUCUUCUUCUGCAUCCAGUUUUCCUCUGUCUUCCUCUCAUAAGCAUGCGUGUGGUAGCAUUUAGCGUCCACCCAGGCAAUCUAGAUUAAUCUCUCACCUCAAGCUCCUUAACUGAAUCACAUCU